rnacentral:rRNA from 1 species
UCCUGGCUCAGGAUGACGCUAGCGGCGCGCUUAAUGCAUGCAAGUCGAGCGAUGAGGCCCUCUUCGGGGGGUACAUCAGCGGCAGACGGGUGAGUAACACGUAGGUGAUCUACCCCAGAGACGGGGAUAACGGGUGGAAACAUCCGCUAAUACCGGAUAGACUUGUUCGGUCAAAGGGACAAGGAAAGGCUCCGGCGCUCUGGGAGGAGCCUGCGGCCCAUCAGCUAGUUGGCGGGGCAACGGCCCACCAAGGCAAAGACGGGUAGGGGGUGUGAGAGCAUGGCCCCCCACAAUGGGACUGGAACACGGCCCAUACUCCUACGGGAGGCAGCAGCAGGGAAUAUUGCACAAUGGACGGAAGUCUGAUGCAGCGACGCCGCGUGGAUGAAGAAGGCCCUCGGGUUGUAAAAUCCUUUACAGGGGGAAGAGGAAGGACGGUACCCCUGGAACAAGUGUCGGCUAACUACGUGCCAGCAGCCGCGGUAAGACGUAGGACACAAGCGUUAUCCGGAUUUACUGGGCGUAAAGCGUCUGCAGGCGGACAGGUAAGUUGGGCGUGAAAGCUCCGGGCCCAACCCGGAGAGGUCGUUCAAUACUGCGUGUCUAGAGGGUGUCAGAGGGGAGUGGAAUUUCCGGAGUAGCGGUAAAAUGCGCAGAGAUCGGAAAGAACACCAAUGGCGAAGGCAGCUCCCUGGGGCAACCCUGACGCUAAGAGACGAAAGCUAGGGGAGCGAACAGGAUUAGAGACCCUGGUAGUCCUAGCCCUAAACGAUGGAUGCUGGAUGUGGGGCCAUAGCGCUCCGUGUCGAAGCGAACGCGUUAAGCAUCCCGCUUGGGAUCUACGGCCGCAAGGUUAAAACUCAAACGAUUUGAGCGGGACUCCGCACAAGCAGCGGAGCGUGUGGUAUAAUUCGAUGCUACACGAAGAACCUUACGUGGGUUUGACAUCUAGGUGGUAGUGAAG